rnacentral:rRNA from 1 species
AUGUCUCUUUGAACAUUAACAAUAAAGAGUCCAGCCUGCCCGGUGAAACUUAUUUAACGGCCGCGGUACUCUGACCGUGCGAAGGUAGCAUAAUCAUUUGUCUUAUAAUUGAAGUCUAGAAUGAAUGGCUUCACAAGAGCAAAGCUGUCUCUUUUUUUAUACUAGAACUUUAUAACUAAGUUAAAAAUCUUAGAUUAAAUUAGAAGACGAGAAGACCCUAUCGAGCUUUAGGAAAUUUUUAGAGCUCUUAACGUUAACGGAAACAGAAAACUUAAAAAAACUUUGGUUGGGGCGACCCGAGAACAGUUAAAGCUUCUCAUUUUUUAACUACUUUUAGGUUAAGACCCAUUAAUAAUGAUUAAAAAAAUUAGUUACCGUAGGGAUAACAGCAUAAUCUUUUUUGAGAGUUCAAAUCGAAAAAGAGGUUUGUGACCUCGAUGUUGGACCAAGAUAACCUGAAGAUGCAGAAGUCUUUAAAGGUUGGUCUGUUCGACCAUUAAAAUCUUACGUGAUCUGAGUUCAGACCGGCGUGAGCCAGGUUGGUUUCUAUCUUUUAUUUAGGUAGUAGAUCUAGUACGAAAGGACCGGUUUACUUUACUAGGUGAAGAAAAAGAUUUAUUCUAAUAAAAUAUUAAAUAUUUGUAUUAAAAGUAUAAAAUAUGAAUUAAAAGUGGCAGAUUAAGUGCAUUAGGUUUAAGCCCUAA